UACGGAGGGAGCGAGCGUUGUUCGGAUUUACUGGGCGUAAAGGGCGCGUAGGCGGCCACCGCAAGUCGGUUGUGAAAUCUCCGGGCUUAACCCGGAAAGGUCAACUGAUACUGCGGGGCUAGAGUGCAGAAGGGGCAACUGGAAUUCUCGGUGUAGCGGUGAAAUGCGUAGAUAUCGAGAGGAACACCUGCGGCGAAGGCGGGUUGCUGGGCUGACACUGACGCUGAGGCGCGAAAGCCAGGGGAGCGAACGGG
rnacentral:rRNA from 1 species